UACGUAGGGGGCUAGCGUUGUCCGGAAUCAUUGGGCGUAAAGAGCGUGUAGGCGGUCCGGUAAGUCCGCUGUGAAAGUCGGGGGCUCAACCCUCGAAUGCCGGUGGAUACUGUCGGGCUAGAGUGCGGAAGAGGCGAGUGGAAUUCCUGGUGUAGCGGUGAAAUGCGCAGAUAUCGGGAGGAACACCAGUAGCGAAGGCGGCUCGCUGGGCCACUCCUGACGCUGAGACGCGAAAGCUAGGGGAGCGAACAGG
rnacentral:rRNA from 1 species